rfam:Moniliophthora roreri MCA 2997 sctg_0424_0003, whole genome shotgun sequence.
GGUGCUAUAGUGUAGUGGUCAUCACUCGGGAUUUUGAUUGGAAACUCCAUAGCAUAUAUCACCUUCCCGAAACCCAGGUUCGAACCCUGGUAGCACCU